rnacentral:rRNA from 1 species
AUUGAACGCUGGCGGCAGGCCUAACACAUGCAAGUCGAACGGUAACAGGAAGAAGCUUGCUGCUUUGCUGACGCGUGGCGGACGGGUGUGUAAUGUACGUCAAGCUGUCUGAUGGCGGGGGAUAACUAGUGGGAACGGUAGCUAAUAUAGCAUAAUGUCGCAAGGGCAGAGAGGGGGACCUUCGGGCCUCUUGCCCUCGGAAGUGCCCAGAUGGGAUUAGCUAGUAGGCGGGGUAAAGGCUCACCCAGGCGACGAUCCCUAGCUGGUCUGAGAGGAUGAUCAGCCACACUGGAACUGAGACACGGUCCAGACUCCUACGGGAGGCAGCAGUGGGGAAUAUUGGACAAUGGGCGCAAGCCUGAUCCAGCCAUGCCGCGUGGAUGAAGAAGGCCUUCGGGUUGUAAAGUACUUUCGGCGGGGAAGAAAAGAGUAAAGUUAAUACCUCGGCUCAUUGACGGUACCCGCAGAAGAAGCACCGGCUAACUCCGUG